rnacentral:lncRNA from 1 species
UUUUUUUUUUGAAAAGUUGUUGCUAGUUUUUUAGUUCUGAAAAGUCAACGCUAGCUUUUAAAAGAUGUGUUUAGGUUUAUGAGCUCAGAAUGCUAUGAAAAGCUCAUAAAACUGAGCUUUCCAACUUUCUAUAUAAAUUCAACUUUUCUGAGCUUCCAGCUUUUCAGAAGCCGUACAAAAAGUUCGUUAUUUGUUUAAGCUUUUAACUUUUCACGCUGAGAAGCUGCCAGGAAUGUCAAACAAAUAGUCAUAAAAAUACUUGCUGACCAAACAGAAAUCCUAAAAUAUGCUGCUAAUUUCUUACACUACAGAAAAACCACUAGUUCGGAGCAGCCAUGAAAAACAUUUUGCAGAAACAUGAUACGCAGGGGCAGGUAAUAUUCUAUAGCCAUAUAAUCGGUAUAUUUUACACAGGAUAUUCCCCCUGCAAAAAGGCAGAUUUUUGGAUAGUGCGGCGAGUAGUUUGGUUCUUGGCCGCAAUACCACCGAGGAGGCGAGGAUUGCACCACACGCCACCCAAGAAACGCUAACGAUUUCUUUAGCCCUCGUUGCCGGAGCACGCGAGCCGCAAAGCACCUGAGGUGGAUUAUUAACAUAAUCCUUUUUGGCUUAGCUUCCAGAAUCCAGGCAUGCACGCAGCAGGUGGCGAGACGCGCGUGUCCGCCACACAGUGUCCGUGACCUUUCGGAGACGGGGAGAGGCCGUUCCCCCGGCCAACUUGUCAAGGCGGCAAGGCCCGUGAGAGCGAUGGAUGGAUUAUACUAGAGGCUAAAGGACUAGGAGAAUAUUAUCGCUGUUUAUCCAUCGAUUUUGCCGAACCGCGUGAGAGCGUUAGAGCAAGAUAGGUAGGAUGCAGUAAGUUUUAUAAAUCAUCCACCCAACAAUUUUACUGCAACAUUAAUUUCAUGUGGAUUCUAUGCUCCAAACUUUAUCCUCUCCUCACGCCUCUUCUCUCUCUGACUCUCCCAUGACCAUGGUGUCACGGUCGGCACUACCCUGCUCCGGCCACCACUUCGGCUACCACGUCGCCCGCCGCCCAUAGCCAUGGCAUCGUGGUUGGUCCCCACCGUGCGUCGCCUCUCAUCUCCGCGCCACCACACCCUCUCUCCAGCCGGAGCCCGCCCGUCCUCCCCCACGCCUGCGCCAGCCGCCACCCACACCUCCGCUAGCAUCACCACCCCCCUCCUCCCGACCGGCGGCCACCCGUCCUCUCCUGCGAUGCGCACCGGCAGGCCACACCCCGAACUCCCUCCUCCCCACGCCUCGCACCUCCGCCUCCACACCCACCAGCCCUACUCCUCCCCUAUGGCACCAAGUUUAAGCUCCACCCAGGCAGACUCGCCCUCGGCGAUUCCCACAGCGGCGGUCUUUGCUCUACUCCCAUGGCCACAUGACCGAGCCCGCUCACUCCGCCUCGCCCUCGCCCGCCGUCGCCGUCGCCGUUGCCGUCUCCUCCUCCGGCACCACUCGUCCUCACCGACCUGUUACGCGUCGGCAGACAAGCGCCGUCCCUCCGACCCGCGGUGGCGCCGCCGAGGCCGUGCCCGAGCUCACGCUGCUCCUCUCGUCAGCCCUCCCUCCUCCGCGAUGGCUUGGUUGCACUCCGCUAUGCCCCUGCACUGCUGCACAACGGCGGACCGGCAGCUCCGUGCUUGGCUGGCCUCUACCUCCUCAUCCCCACUCACUUCUCAUGCCGGGAAUAGGGCGUCGCCGUGCCUUCUCGCGCCAGUGGUUGCGCCUCCUCCCGCAAGUCGCGGCCGUCGCAGGAAGCCGUGGAGCCCCCGUCCCCCCUCAUGUCCACGACGACAAGGUGCAGCCCGUCCUCCACUCCUUGCCGGUAGCAUGGUGUGCUCAUCGUCCCGCCUUGCGCUGCCGCCGACGCCUCGUCUCAUCUUGCAGCGCUGGUCGUGCCCAGCGGAGGAGCCGAGAGACUGCCGGAACGUAAGAUCGUGGUAGUGAGACGACCGAAGGAGAGAGAAGAUGGAACUGAUUGCUGAGCACUUGGUGGAGCUUACUUAGCAUGGGGAUGCGUGCUAGCAGCCCUUGCCAUUUCUAACAGCAGCACCUUCCCUCCUCGCUUCUCUCUACUACGUGGCUCCCUUGUAGAAAGGUUAACGGCACCAUUGCGGGUGCCCUGACGGGCAAGAGAGGCAUCGAGCCGCUGCGAUUCUUGCCUAUCAACUAGCAUUGACUUGUGCGGGUGGUGGUGGCCACAUUGGGAGGCUGCCAUCUCCCCGCGAUGCCACUGGCGUGAUGGAUGCCCCCGUCAAAUGAUGCGAAGAUUCUCCCUGAUUUAUAUAUGGUCCAUGACGAUCUCUAAUCCCUUUUAUCUCCACCGGAAAGAUGUCGUCGUGACGCCAGAAUGGUGUUGGUGUUGUGACGUGCGGAGCCCGUGAGUUUCUCGGCAAGGAGGCAGCGACCGAGCCCGGGAGAUUCGAUCUCGUGGCGUUCUUCCUGAUGGCUGGUGCGCCAGAGACACUGGCGUGGCAUCGUCUCUUGCCUCUACGUCGAGCUAGAGGCGUCCUCGGGUCUUUCCUCCUGGCCUCCUUGGGUGCCGGCGCUAUGCGUCUGAUCCGGACGGUGCGCGUGGAAGUAUUUGGAACGCCAUGACAGGUGCCGCCGCGCCACGCCGCGACCGCCGAUGGUCAAGCUGUGACCGACUCCGGCGGAGUCGGUUGUUUUCCGCGGUGAGAGGCACCGAUGAGCACGCAGGUCUUGGUGCGGCCCAGUGGUGGGUGCCCGUGCAGCGAAACGGCGAGCGGCCGGCGAGAGCGCGCGCGUAGGAGAGGGGAAACUGUUGACUUGCAAGUUGGAUGUGGUGCGACUAUGGGCUGCAGUGGACCGCGUCGCGUGUCGGGCGGGCUUCGCGCCUAUGUGUUUCUGUGGCGUGGGCCGGUGUUAUCUCCUUGUUGGAUCAGGAGUGCGCCGCCGAAGGUUGGUUGGGACUCGGGCAUCCAAAUAUUCCCAUUCCUUGGUUUUUUUUUUCCUCCUCUUCUUUUUUAACUGAAGCCGUGACAGAGCUGCGCAAUCGGUUUAUUCGGUUUUCAAAGUACAAACCGAAAUAAUCAGUUUGGUGUUUGUAGACAUGUCAAUAUUAUUGAUGUUUUUUCCAACACUUUUUUUAAUGUGCAUGGACCAAUGGUUUUCUUUCUUUUGUCAGGUUUUCACGUGGAAAUUUCCCAUAAAAAGCGCCUCAUCAAAUGGCACAAGCACAAAAAAUGAUCCGCUACAACGGGACCCGGCAGCUGGUAUUCGUCGUGUACUCGUGCGCACCAUAUAUUGUUGCAGUUGCAGCAAAAGAGAGAGCAUUUUCAUAAGAUAUUCUGCAUGGAUAUCGUGGCCAAAGUUUAGCCAAGGAUUAAGGGGACCCUCUCAAAGCUCACCCCGUCGCUCGCCACUUCCAUCUCUGAUUCGCUGUAUUAUUGGUCUAAGGUUCCGUUUGCUUCCACUGACUUAUUUUUAGCACCCGUCACAUCGAAUGUUUAGAUACUAAUUAGGAGUAUUAAACGUAGACUAUUUACAAAACUCAUUACAUAAGUGGAGGCUAAACGGCAAGACGAAUUUAUUAAGCCUAAUUAGUCCAUGAUUUGACAAUGUGUUGCUACAGUAAACAUUUACUAAUGAUGGAUUAAUUAGGCUUAAUAGAUUCGUCUCGCCGUUUAGCCUCCACUUAUGUAAUGGGUUUUCUAAAUAGUCUAUGUUUAAUACUCCUAAUUAGUAUCUAAACAUUCGAUGUGACACGUGCUAAAAAUAAGUCAGUGGAAGCAAACGCCCCCUAAGAAAAAUUGUUUGGGUGUGUUUGGUUUGAGGGUUGGAGUGGGUUGGGUUGGGUCGGGCCCAGUUGGCACAGUGUUUGGUUCAAAAUGCAGUGGGUUAGGUUCGUCCACGAUAAGAAAUAUACCGUGUAGAUGCGGGUUAGGAUGGUUUGCCCAAAACGAGCGGACCACGUCAACCAGGUGGCUUCCCACGCACACCGUCUCACUCGAUCGAUGGGGGCACAGGCGAGCGGCUCCAAGCAAGGAGCUGGCUGGUGGCGCGAGCGCGGCAAGGAGGAGCAAGGUGGCAUGGCUGGCGUGGGUAAGAGGCACGCGCACCUAUCCGAGCAAGGAGCUAGCCGGCGGCGUGCUCCAGCUCCUUCGGCGAAGGAAGGCCGCGCGUGCGAGGCCACGUUGCCGCCGCGUGGAGGCGCCCAUGCGGUCGGCGGCUCUGCUGAGGCUAGAGCUGGGGCGGCAGCAUAGCAGGGGAAGAAGAUAAGGUGGGUAAAAAAAGAAAAAGAGGAUGACAGAUGGGUCCCGACAUUGACAUGUGGGACCCGUUGUUAACGUUGUUAAAAUAGCAUCCAUUCUAUCCCUCGCAAUCCCUUCAACCAAAUAAAAAUUAGAACAUCCUCCUACCGAAAUACAAGAUGGGUUGAACUCGAUCCGUUCCAGUCGGUGCACAAACCCAUCCCACCCCACGUAAUGGAGACGGAAAGGGAGCAGUGCGAUUUGUUUAGGUCACCUGACGUCCUCCGUAGCUAGCGAGAACCCAACAAACUGGACAAUUUCUUUAUAGAAAAAGGCUAUGAGUCCCGAUGACUUGUUUAUCCAUCCAUGCCAUGCAAGAUGCAACACGCAGCGCCAGGGCUAGGUAGCAGAGUAGACAGAAGCCUAGGCCAGGGCGUGAGGCGGUGAGGGGAUGCUGGAUGCAUGAUGCAAAGGCCAUCCAAUCCAACACCAACGCUUACUUGCACAGUUGCACUCCAGUUCCGGUUCAGAGCGCCUGUGCCGCUGCUGCUGCAGUGUUGCUGCCGUGCCUGCUGCCACCCGCGCUUCCCAAGAAAAGCAAUUAUUCUAUGCGGGCACAGUGCCGCAUGUCAUUUCCGAGGCGAAAGCACGUUGUGCCACUGCCGCUGCGGGGACUGGGAGGGGAGAGGUUGCGGUGGUGGAGGUGGUGGUGAGAGGUGCGUGGUGACCGGUGGUGACAGCCGCGGCCGGCCGGAGCAGGAGGAGGUGGCCACUCGGAUUAGACAAACAAAAGGCACGAGGGGGAUGGGAUGGCAUCUCUCCUUGGAAGUGGCAAAUCCAGGGACGGAUCGUCAGAUCGGCCAUAUCUUAAGAGUGGAAAGAACAUAUGCUUAACGGGGAACCCCCACUACCUGACCCGGAUUAGGCUAGGAUCAAAAGGCCUUUAGCUUUGGGGUGCUUUGGCACUCAGGUGUGUGUGGCCCAUGCAUGCACCUUCACCUGACCUGCUGCUGCCAUAAUGCUUUGAUAUCCUGUCUAUCACUUGAUUGAGAGAUGUAUUAGCGACAUGAAGAAGGAGAUGAGGAAAGGCAUCGCGUUAAAAGCGGAACAUGGCACUACUGAAGUACUGAUCAGAGAAGGAUGAGAGCAAAGGCUUCCCAGUGUUGCAGUUGCUCUCAGAUGUCAGGCAGCCACAGCCCACAGGCUGAAAAAGAUGUCUACUAGGUACUGUGCUAGUAGUAUCAGUCUCCUCACUUGCGUAAUGAAAGGGUAAAAAAAUCGGUGCUAAAAAGGAAUUGAACGUAUUUAGGAAAUGGUAAUAUAAGCUGUCCCUUCUUAGCGACAAAAGGAACAAAGCACCUAAACUGGCCCCUCUUGGUCCCAUCAUAAGGUAGAGGGUACUCUCAGCUUUCUCCCGAUGACUCCGCUACUCAAAAAUCAACACGCCACAGCUCCAUUCCUACCAGUACCCCCGUCCUGCUCCAACGUCCCUCAAACCGCGGCUCUGGUGAAAGAUGCUUACAGCUCAUGAGCUGCAGAUACGAGUUAACGUGAUCUUGACUUGACAAGAGCGUGUCCUCCUUUUCACGUCGUCGAAAACAAGCACUCCUACAGCAAACAUAGAAACCGGAAUGUCCUUGGCAGCCUUUCCUCUAGCUCCCAUGCACACGCACCCUACAGGGAUGGAAUGGAUAUCUGAGCCCUGAAGCUUGUGCAUCCAAACUCCAGUUCUCCCCCUCGCUCCAUGAGUGGCAAUGAUCGCCCCUGCUUUACCCAUGAAGAUGAAGGCAUAGAGAAAGGCGGCACAUCAUGUUUUGCUCAGCCGGCAUGCAGAAUCAGAGCGCAAUAAUCUGCCCAUGCAGGCACCACUAGAGCCUAGAAAAAGAAAGCAGCGCCCUUUUUAAACGGGAGAACGCCGGCUGCUUUCUGCCGAGAAGGCGCCGAGCUGCAGUAGCCAGUGACGUGCAUGGAUUCCCUCCACGCAAAAAAGGGCGUGCAUGGAGCCCCCCCAGCUGUUAUUCUACUCGCCAAAGCGUACGUCAAAUCGGGCGCUGCAACCCCGAGGGCCAUGGAUAACUGAUCCCAGGUAACAUGGGCUUUUUACCCUGGGGAGAAGUGAAAAAAAAAAUUGGACAGGACAGCCUCAAGGAAGGACAGGCCGAUCGAUCAUGGCGUCGCCCAUGUCACCGCUGGCUAAUUGGCCGGUUGUUUAGUGCGCGGAUCAAGGCAAAAGCUAGGUUACGGUAGGGACAACUCAGCCCUAACAGGUGGUGUUAGGAGGGUGGGAAUCGUGGGAUGAUGACAAAACCUGUGCUGGAACUGGAAGGUUAUGCAGCAGAUGGGCAAAUCAUGGCCUGUCCAAGCUUUAGGAGGCGUACUCCAUCCAAGGAUGCAGGAUCUGGCACUGAUUAAUACUGCCACCACCUGCUUUCUUAGUUUAAUGGAGUACAUGGAAAGGCUAACCAUAUUCAUCCAGCAUCAAGAUAAGGCUACCUAUCCACCAGUCAUAUUUUAGGGCUACACAAGUGGAGCUAGCUACACUGUAAAUUAUUGUGAAAGACAUUUCAGCCUCCAUGGGUGCUGGGGAUUGACAAUGGUGCAAAGAACGACACUUUUCUGCAAGCUAGGAUAUCACUUCACUUCAAUUGCAUGUCAAAGGAAUAGUGGUACAUGUUAACACGGCUUAAUCGAUCAUCUGGGAUUAGAGAACAAAUAGGGUUCAACAUCUACCGACAUACAACACAUCUUCAAAGGUAUGGUCAUGCCCUCUAUAGCCCCCCACAUUGUCAAAUAUCGACAGCAUUCUUGGACGCAUCUACACCACGAGAGGCACACGGACGCCCGGCCGGCCACUUGUUUCUUCGACUGUCCUACACCCUAGUACAAUACAUGCUGACCACCCCUUCCAAGAGACAAGAC